CCUACGGGAGGCAGCAGUAGGGAAUAUUGGACAAUGGGGGCAACCCUGAUCCAGCAAUGCCGCGUGAGUGAUGAAGGCCUUAGGGUUGUAAAGCUCUUUUACCCGAGAUGAUAAUGACAGUAUCGGGAGAAUAAGCUCCGGCUAACUCCGUGCCAGCAGCCGCGGUAAUACGGAGGGAGCUAGCGUUGUUCGGAAUUACUGGGCGUAAAGCGCACGUAGGCGGCGAUUUAAGUCAGAGGUGAAAGCCCGGGGGUCUACCCGAACCCG
rnacentral:rRNA from 1 species